rnacentral:rRNA from 1 species
GGAUGCGAUCAUACCAGCACUAAUGCACCGGAUCCCAUCAGAACUCCGAAGUUAAGCGUGCUUGGGCGAGAGUAGUACUAGGAUGGGUGACCCCCUGGGAAGUCCUCCGUGUUGCAUCCC